GUGACGUCACGGGCCACCCGCCAGCCCCGCGCUCUACCAGGCAGAGCGCGUGUGGCCGCCGAGCACAUGGACCCACUGGUCAAGCGGGCUCGGCAAGGCCAGGAUGAAGAGAAGCUACGAACUUAGCAUUCCCAGAGCCCCCCGAGUGGAUAUCCGCGUGGAAAGGAUGUUGGCAGCCCCGGUGACCUCGGAGUCACGGCUGGAUCCACCCUCUUGUCUGAUUUUCUUAACUCUACUACGGUAAGAAGAUGCCCUCCAUCAGCAGGCCGUGUCUGCUGGGACCUCUCUGGAGACUUCCUGAACCCUGUGGAUUUACAGUAAGAUGCAGUUUCCUGGGGAGUAAUUCUGGUGGAUACAAAUUCCGGAGUAUUACACCUGGCUUGCCUGGAGAUGUUACAAGUAGCUGGAUGGAUUCUUCAGCCUGGAUGCCCACUGAAAACAAGGACCGAAACUAAGAGGAUUGUAUCUCUACCCUUGACUCAAUGAGAAUGUUUGUUGUCAUCUCUCGGGCUACCUGGAGCUCCCUCUAAAAUUAUACCCUUUAAGCGUUCCAGAAGGAUUUUGAGAUCCUUUCCUAAAUCAAAGGUGGAAUAUUUGGGGAUUUGGAAAAUUGAGCAUUUUUUUCCCCACUUGCUUGACUGUAAUGCUAACAUGCUCUCUCUGCUCCAACCUGGAGAAGCCAGUCUCUCAGAAGAACCAGUUGUGUUACUUUGCUGUGAGAUGCCUGCCCUAAGAGAGGAGCAGAAGGUCGGAACGGGUCCUCUAAUGUGAUAAUUAGAUGUGAAGCGUUGACUUAAGAGAUGCCAAGUAACUCAGCAGAUGUCACACAGACGAUAAAUAGCAAAGAUGGAAGUCUUCAUGCCGGAGGCAAUCCUAUAAGACAGCUGAGUUCUGCAGAGCUGGUAGGAGACAGACUUGCUCAGGUGAUAGAUCCAGCCAUGAUACUGACCCUAAGAGAAUGAGACGCUCUGCAGAAGACAGAAGAUUCCUGAAACUGGGAAAGGUGCCUAGAAAUCCUGAUAAGAGUGAAGAAGGAGCUGGCAGAGCAGCCUUCCUCCGCACUAUGAAAGACAUCCAACAGAGAGCAAGUUCCCACCUCACUUCCAGCUUGACUCCUUUUUAUCUCCUAACUGUGGUCUGUGAUGUCUUCAGCAAUGGUAUUAACUAGUUCUGGGUACCUGGAGGCACAGCAGCCAUGUUGAACCUAUGAGGUGAUGAAAAACCAUGCAACUAGAAACCAGAAUGGAAGAAAAGAAGAAGCUGGAUCCUUGACUGAAUUGUCGAUGGGGGAUAGUCCAUCAUCCCAGGGCUAAGACCACCUCCAGAUUUCUUGUUUGGUGAAACAAGUCCUGAUUGUUUACAUUCCCUCGUGUUGAGCUGUCUCUUGCUUGUAGCUGAAAGCAUUUCUAAUAGAUAUUCAGAUUAUCAGCCUUAGCUCCAAGCUAGAAUACUCUAUGGGACCUUAGCUUCUCCAUGAAUUCCUUUGCUCAUCUGUGUAAUGCUCAAUAAAUGUAAAUUGAACCCUGAAUGAGGGACAAUGACACUA
rnacentral:lncRNA from 1 species